rnacentral:tRNA from 1 species
GCGAGGGUAGCCAAAUUGGUAAGGCGGAAGUCUGCAAAGCUUCUAAUUGUUGGUUCGAGUCCAGCUCCUUGCUCCA